rnacentral:misc_RNA from 1 species
AAGUCGUAACAAGGUUUCCGUAGGUGAACCUGCGGAAGGAUCAUUAACAAAUCAUUUUGUGCAGUCGGUUGGUGUCAAAGCCAGCCUGACCACACAUAUUAACCCUAACCUGUGCAGCAAUGCCAGGCUAGGUGUGGGCCAAUGUAAUGUUGGCUCGCGGUGACGGAUUGAGGGAGUCCUUGUGACUCUCCCAAUCUCGAUCCACAUAGACGCUUUUUUUGUUUGACAGUAUUAGUUGAUACACUUUAAAAAUGACAACUUUUAACAAUGGAUCUCUUGGCUCUU